UAGGGAAUCUUCGGCAAUGGACGAAAGUCUGACCGAGCAACGCCGCGUGAGUGAAGAAGGUUUUCGGAUCGUAAAACUCUGUUGUUAGAGAAGAACAAGGACGUUAGUAACUGAACGUCCCCUGACGGUAUCUAACCAGAAAGCCACGGCUAACUACGUGCCAGCAGCCGCGGUAAUACGUAGGUGGCAAGCGUUGUCCGGAUUUAUUGGGCGUAAAGCGAGCGCAGGCGGUUUCUUAAGUCUGAUGUGAAAGCCCCCGGCUCAACCGGGGAAGGUCAUUGGAAACUGGGAAACUUGAGUGCAGAAGAGGAGAGUGGAAUUCCAUGUGUAGCGGUGAAAUGCGUAGAUAUAUGGAGGAACACCAGUGGCGAAGGCGGCUCUCUGGUCGGUAACUGACGCUGAGGCUCGAAAGCGUGGGGAGCAAACAGG
rnacentral:rRNA from 1 species